UGAAGGCAGGAACCUGGUCUUGAACCAAGUGUUCUAUCACUGUGUGCUCAGUGGGAGCAAAAAAUCCACAGCUGUUAUUGUCCUUCAGAUUCAUGCUUCUUGGGGAGCAAUGCCCUGCGGCACACUUUACCUUCUUUGUCCCAGGCUGCUUCUCUGUAAGUAUUAACCUUUCUUUCCUAGUCUACACUCUCAGAGAGUAGUGGAAAGAGAGUAGAGAAUAGUAGUAGAGAGAUUGCUUAUCUCUCUUUCUCUCUGUGGCAAUGGCUAUGCUUGAUCUUGCCUUCUAGUUCAUGGUACACAUGCCUGCCCCUCACACUGGCCCAUUGCUUCACACAAGGGCAUAAAUAAAAGUCACUCUAAACUUUGCCAUCCGCAAAGACCUGGGCCUAAUCUAUGAACCUGAUUUGGCUCUGGAGUGGGGAUUUGGAAAAGCUUCCCAUGUGAUUCUGACAUGCACCUCCAUUAGGUACAUUUGGCUGCAACUUUUUUAAAAAAUGAGGAGUUUAGAGUCUUCUACAGUCCCCUGAGCAGGGAUUUGCACACAGAAGACACUCAAUAUAUUCUUAUUGAAUAAAGUAGAUACCAAUAUAGCCCUUAGUAGCCCUAUAGCCAACCUGGAGAUAACUUGUAAGGCACUACCCCUUCAGUUCCAGAUGCAGCUUCAGUGACAUAUUUGUCAGUGGGGGAGUAGAUCUGGAGGAGUUUGAUCAGUCUAGGGAAGAGCCAGGGCCUAAUUUUCAUUAGGCCAGUGGCACCUGCUGGAGAAGGCUGGGCGAUACAUCAAUGAAGGGAAGGGGUUCCCAUGGGCCUGCCAGCCUAGAGGUGGGGCCACUACUUACCACUGAUGGAAGAAACAGCAUGAGGAGGAGAUAAUGAGGUAGUUUGUGGAAUCAGAGCUAAGCUUAUGGGCUUCUCAAUGGCCUAAUCUUUCGAACACACUUUACACUGAUUCUUAACGUUUUGUUCAGCUUUUAUUCACAGGGUAGGCUAAGCCAGGGAGCAGAAAGGCAAGGGACUCCUACUCACAUACCCACUUGGCAAAACCAAAGCACCUUGGGCUUUGAACCCACCCUUCUUAGAAGGCAGGUUUGGGGGUUGAUGCCCCUUGAUAGGCUCACUUCACCCUCUCCCCGUGCCAUUCCAUUUCUACCCAUCCCAAGAUGCUUAUCUGAGUAUUUCUUUCAGUACAUCCAGCCAUCUUCCUGGGAGCAUUUUAUAUCUGAGUUUUACACUUCUGGUGAUGUUUUGGCAUCCCUAAUAGACGGGCUCCCAGGGCAGUCUUUAAUCAGGAGUCUUCCCGUAAUCUAGCUCCUCAAGAAUCCAAGGGAAGAGGCACAAAGAAAAGUAUGAAUGGGAAGAUAGAAGGGCAACCCAAUCAGAAAGUGGCGGACGAUACUGUUGAGAAGGAGCCGGCAGAGAGCUGCACACCAGGAGCUACACUGUCUUUCCCUGACCACAACCUCCGUUGGCCACCUCCUGCCCUUCCCCUCCCUCCACCCGUGGAAACCACUGCUCAAUCUCAACUGGCCUCUUGCAGGCCUAUCUCUCCCUCCAAACAAAGGUGUGCUGGACACAGGGCUGCAGACCUCUAGCCACUCCCAGAACACACACACACACACAAAAACCCACAGUGGUUCUAUAGCAUUUACACCUCCACAUUCCUUCAGACAGAAUCCAGAAGAGAGGAACCUUGCUAUCUCUGAAGCAGAGCAUGUCUCCAAGCUCAGGGCAGCCCCAGACCUCUAACGGCCUCAAGUGGAGUGGAAAUCCCUCAAGGGCACAAAGCCAGUCCCUACCACCUCAAUCGGUAUCUGGCAAUGUUUGUGGUUGGUUGAGUGAGUGAACAGAAGACCAUCUUUUGGCUUUUUUCUACCUCCGUUUCCUGUUACCAUACUUGCCAAUGUUGCAUCUUCUGGUCAACACCAGGUAUUCUCCCCAUGAGCUUCUUGUGAACCUGUCUAGGGUCCAUCAGCCCAAACAUCAUUUGUUUUGUUUGAAUUAAGCUUUGUUAAACUUUUCACAGCUUUCAUUUCAUUCUUGAACUUUCACAGUGCAACCGCCUGUGAGGGGACAAAGAAGUCCACAAACAUGGAAACCGGGCCUAAAGAUGUCCAGAGUAAACUGUCUGUGGAGUCAAAUUGUAUUUGAGCCCCAGACCUAAACACCAAAUCCAAGCUCUUUUUCACUAUGACCUUGGGCCUCUCAAGGCCUAGUUUCCUCAUCUAUAAAGUGUAGAGAAGCCAGUAACAGACUCACCCACACUAUGAGGGUGUGCAUGAGGUCAUGUAUGUAAAUGUGCUUACUUUAUAGAUCAUUCUGUCCCAAUAAGUAUGAAUUACUAUGCAUCAUUUCAUUAAAAAAGAAAGCUUCAUUGUAUUAUAUGCACAAAUAAAAGAUUAACAUGUAUUGUCUUA